AUAAAGUCGGUAAGAGUUUACGCUGUCUUAGAGAUAGAAAAAGCAAGAUACCAACUAUAUAAAGAGAAGAUCGAAUAACCCAUUCACAACACAUAUUUUCGGCAUAAGGACUAGGCUUUCCUCUUCUUAGUUCUUGGUCGGAUUUCUUUGCAAUCGUCUUAUUAAUCAUCAAUAAAUGUCAUUUAAAUAACUUACCAUUGAAAUCGUGCUCUUAUUCAAUACACAGUUUCAUAUUAAACAGAUGUAGAUACUUAUUCUUCUACCAGAAAAGCUUGGACACUCUAAACGUUUUUUUUUUUUUUUUUUUGCUAACCGAGUAUCCUGGUUCCACUGAAGUGGUCCAGACUAGAGACUGAAGUGAGUAUGGACGCUGUCAGGGCGUCACCAUGUGGCUCACCGUGUAACGGUCUUCGGUCUCAGAUGCUGCAACCUGGCUCUGAUACCAUAUCAAGAUUGUGAAUGUUGAAGAAGAUGAAGAUCGGAGAAGAGAAUCAAGUUUGUUAUGAAAAGUAUUUACUUCAACAUUAACUGUAAAAUGUACAAUCAAGUCAGCUUAUAUACAAGCAUUUAACUCAACUAACAUAAGCUUAACUAACAUCUAACCACACUAACCAACACCCUGAGUUAACAACACGUGAAUUACACGUGAUAGUGACCAAGGCUCGAACCCAGAGGCGGACACUCCAGCUGGAACUCCUAUACCACUAGACCAAAGCAACUUGGUUAACUCUAAACGUUUCUGUCAAUUCUAUUAUUGUAUCUAAUGUGGAAGGGAGGUCAUCGUAAUUUGAUAUCCUAAUUUUGGUGAAUUCCAUUCUUAUUUGUGGAAUUCGAAAUUAAUUCAACUUUCAUAUUAUUUAAUUUAUAUUAUCAAAGCAUUUUUAUUUUUAUUUUUGUUGAUUACACCUACUU
rnacentral:lncRNA from 1 species